AGUGCCUCAAUCUAUGACAACCAGAAGUCGAACUCGGUGAAUCACUCUGAGCCGCCGGAGCGAUAAACCUCAGGCCGGCUCCUCCCCUCACACACCGGCUUUUCGGACACCGGAGGGAGUGUUGGCUUAGCGGCCCGAGCUGGUGGUGGGGCGCUGGUUUUUCUAGAACCUGCCGCUUUUCUGUGCCUUGCUCCUCGCCGACUGGGCCGGGAAAUGAAGAUUGAAUUGUUUCAGUUCUUUUAAAUAUGAAGCAGAAGAGCGCAAUUCUGCUGUGGAGUUGUGCCUUCCGUCUCCCUGCCUUAACUCCACCCCCCACCCCCCACCGGGCGCCCCCAUGCGAGGGUGUGCAGAGCUUGUAAGGACGCAACAGCCCGGGUGCCCACCACGGAAGGGUGAGCGGAGGGCUGACCUAAGCCGGACGAGUAAGCCCCUCUGGCCUUGUGCUGUAGUGUAGUUCAUUAACGAGGCUAGUAAUGCGGAAAUCAGUUUGCGGGGAGGGGUCGCUCAUUAGCACGUGCGACCUGCUAGCUCUGAGACGGGGACAGGUGCGAGGGAAGCAAGUGGUCUGGGAGACAGGGACUUGGCCUGAGAGACCUCAGGGAGACACAGAGGGAUUGUGGGUCCCUCGCAACUUGCUCUCAAGCUGUGGGCGCCCCUUCACCCAGAGAGACCUCUCCCAAGAGGCAAGGCUCCUCCUCCUGCAUUCUAGGCGCAGGCAGCGGGGGGCUGGGGGACCUGGUGCCUGGCCCCCAGCUGGGAGUCCUGGGAGGGGGUGCACAGCAGCUGGGCUCUGCGCCCCAGCCCUGCACGGAGGGUAGCCCUGGGAAUGUAGGGCAGUUUUCUGAGAACUGUUGCUUGUCCCCUUUUCUCCCCAUCGCACUGUGGAACGUAAUCUGCCUUUACAACAAAGCAGGGCCCUGGGGCAGAGGACUUGGGCCGCAGGAUCCCGGUGACCUGCCUUCAUUCCCCCUGGGGCCUGUGCCCCAGAGGUGUGGAGACUGGAGGGGGCGACACUGAAAGCCUCACCCCUCCCCCAGCCCUGCUCACGGGACUGUCUCCCUGGAGCAGCAGGGGCGACCUGGUUUUGUAAGAGGACCCAGGUACUAGGAUGGCGCCUUGAGAGGCAGGAAGUCCAGGGACAGGGCGCAGGAAGCGGCCGCCACCGCAGCCUGGAGCUCAGCUCUGAGUCAGGCCACCGCGCUUGCCUUCCUGCAGCUUCGCUUGCGGUGCCCCCACUCUCACUCCGGGCCGCCCCACCUUUCGGACUCUCUGGAUCAGUCCCCCUUGAAGGCUCUGUACGCCUCGCAGAAGCGUUAGCUGGUGACCCCUCAGCUAAUGGGGGGUGCUCUGUCCCCCACUGUGCUCCCAGAGCUCCCAGCCCAGCACUGCGUCCCCCUGUUAAUCACACCUCGUGGGUAAGGGAUCUGGCCUCAAGGGCGUGAGGGGCUCAGUGAGAAUGGACUCUCGGAGAUUUCCUGCUCAUCCCUCCCCAAAGCCCUUUGGAGAGGGCUUCAUUCAACGAAAGUGGGCGGCACGUGUCAGUGGGGUGACGGGUGGAGAACCGAGAGCGGCUACCAGCCUUCUCUGAGGGGCAGGGCCUGGGCUUGGCCUGGCCACUGCCCAGAACCCUUGGCUCCCGCUGCCCCCCAGAACCCCGGGCCACGCAGUGCAGAGCGAGGCUGGCUAGUCUGUUUACGCCAGACCCUCAGUGGCUUAGCUCUGCGGGGCGCCGUGCUCUUUUCGAAGUGUCUUGUGUGUACAUCUGAGCUUUACGGUGCCACGAGCCCCACAGGGCGGACAGUCUUAUCCCCAUUUCAUAGAUCCACAAACUGAGGCUCGUAGAGGCUACGCAACUCGCCACGAGUUACAGCCCAUUUGUUGGAGCCCCGCUGGCCUCGCAGGUCACUGUGCUGCCCCCAAAGCGCCUUCUUGUCUCUGCUAGAGCUCAUAUGUUCCUGCCUUUCUUUUUUAAGAUUUUCUUUAUUUAGCCCUGGCUGGCGUAGCUCCGUGGAUUGAGCGCGGGCUGUGAACCAAAGUGUCGCAGGUUCGAUU